rnacentral:rRNA from 1 species
AUUGAACGCUGGCGGCAUGCCUUACACAUGCAAGUCGAACGGUAACAGGUCUUCGGAUGCUGACGAGUGGCGAACGGGUGAGUAAUACAUCGGAACGUGCCUAGUAGUGGGGGAUAACUACUCGAAAGAGUGGCUAAUACCGCAUGAGAUCUACGGAUGAAAGCAGGGGAUCGCAAGACCUUGUGCUACUAGAGCGGCCGAUGGCAGAUUAGGUAGUUGGUGGGAUAAAAGCUUACCAAGCCGACGAUCUGUAGCUGGUCUGAGAGGACGAUCAGCAACACUGGGACUGAGACACGGCCAAGACUCCUACGGGAGGAAGCAGUGGGGAAUUUUGGACAAUGGGCGAAAGCCUGAUCCAGCAAUGCCGCGUGCAGGAUGAAGGCCUUCGGGUUGUAAACUGCUUUUGUACGGAACGAAAAGCCCCGGGUUAAUACCCUGGGGUCAUGACGGUACCGUAAGAAUAAGCACCGGCUAACUACGUGCCAGCCGCCGCCGUAA